rnacentral:rRNA from 1 species
CCUGAAACCGUGUACGUACAAGCAGUGGGAGCACGCUUAGGCGUGUGACUGCGUACCUUUUGUAUAAUGGGUCAGCGACUUAUAUUCUGUAGCAAGGUUAACCGAAUAGGGGAGCCGAAGGGAAACCGAGUCUUAACUGGGCGUUAAGUUGCAGGGUAUAGACCCGAAACCCGGUGAUCUAGCCAUGGGCAGGUUGAAGGUUGGGUAACACUAACUGGAGGACCGAACCGACUAAUGUUGAAAAAUUAGCGGAUGACUUGUGGCUGGGGGUGAAAGGCCAAUCAAACCGGGAGAUAGCUGGUUCUCCCCGAAAGCUAUUUAGGUAGCGCCUCGUGAAUUCAUCUCCGGGGGUAGAGCACUGUUUCGGCAAGGGGGUCAUCCCGACUUACCAACCCGAUGCAAACUGCGAAUACCGGAGAAUGUUAUCACGGGAGACACACGGCGGGUGCUAA